rnacentral:lncRNA from 1 species
GGAUCCUUUGGAGCCAAGGACUGAACUGCCAUGCAAGACCUCUGCCAACUGAGGGUUUCAUGAGCGCACUCCCUUGCCAAGAUCUUGGUGAAUAGUCUUUCACUGUGCAAUUGUGUCUCAGACAUUGUUUUACUUGUUAUCAUGAUUGUGCUUGGCUGGAUGCUUUUUGUUGGACUUGCAUGUUACAUGGGCACAUUUCCAGAGUUCACGGUAAGUAAUGACCCUGCCUGUGAAUCCCUGGUAGUAGUCAGUCCUGGCUCUGACUCCACCUCCCAGCCAGGGUUUCUGACCAAAUGGGAAAGACAGUUGAGGCCUCAUCACUAAUUAGAGGUCAGGGUGCAGUGGGAACAAAGUUGGCUUCCCAGGCUACUUCUCAACUCACUGGGAUUAUCUUUAAGUUCCACCCACCCCUUGGGUACAUAACAUUACUUAUUUUAAAUUUAUAAGGGGUUUGCUGGAGAAAGUGGAUUUCAGGCAAAGUGGAUCAAUGGUCGCCGGCUAGAAAGGGAAGGUGGGCAUUGGUGGGACCUCCAACAGUCACGGUCACAGACAGAGGCAAUUACCUGCUAGGCCAACAAGUAGAACCGCUUCUGCCUUUAAAUUUCUUUCUGACUCAGCCUCCAACUCUGAAGUGGAAAGAGAAGUGGCCUGUUCAGGAGAGCAAGACACGACUGAGGAGCCUGGCUUUGGAUGAAGAACCACAACUAUGAGUGAGUGGUCAGGUCUGCUGGACUCAAUUCCUCCCUUUCCAGAGAACAUGGCAACCCCUUGAAAUCUCAGUAGGAAGUUUAUAUUCCCCUGGGAAACAAUAAACUGUAGAAAGGGAAGUGGGUUGAGAUAUGUGGUGGGGAAAGAGAAUUCAGUGAGCACUGCUUUGGACAGCAGGCCAAGGCUCAAAGAUUUGUUAAGCACAUCUUAACUGGUAUUCUUCCCAAAGACUAUUCCUGUCUAUUAACUUGUUUUCUCACAAACUCUGUAGUAAGUCGGACCAGCGUUUUUAGCGCCCCUUUUGGCAGAUCCCAAGACAGGUUCAAGUUCUAACUUUGCAACUCACUAGCUACGUGACCUUGGGAAAGUUUAAUCUCUCUAAACCUCAGUUUCUUCAUCUGUAUAACGGAGAUAUCUGUGUAUCUUACUGUUUUUGUGAGGCUUGCAUCUGGGAAUUCAUGUAAAGCAUUUGAUGCAAAGCAUUUACUAAAUGCCAACUUAACAACCAAGCAAAAUAAUGAACGGGUCCACAAAGAUUUAGUGGUGACAGUAACCUCAACUAUUUACCCAAGGCCAUACAAAUCAAUUCCUUUGAGAAGCUGGGAUGCGAGCAUAGUUCUCUGGACUUAACAGCCUCUUGCACUCGUUCCACUAGACCAGCCUGCCUUUAGGAGACAGGAAUAGCAGUAUCCUUUUCACAACCGUCUCCUGGCUUUCUUCCCUCCCACUCCCUUUCACUCAGAUCUGGUUUUUCAAAGGUGUUCCCACUGUUAAAGAAACUUUACUCUGAGAGUCUUAGUAAUGAACUGAUAACAGGAGCAGAUUUUCUGGGAAGCUACUCUGGAAAGCAGUGGUAUCAAGUCCUAACCCCAGGUACACUGAGAGCAGGGCAUGAGGGUUUGUUUGUUUGUUUGUUUUUUUCCAUCGGCCCCAGUAUUUCCAUGCAAGUGUUGACCCAGCUCGGUCAGAUCAUUGUUGGGGUGGGGACGUAGAUGGAGGCCCUGGGCACUUGCUUAGCUGAGGCACUGCCACCCUGAUCCUGACCAAGCCACUGGAAAUGUUCUGUGCCUCAGGUUCUCCAGCUUUGAAAUGAGCAGGACAGCCUAAUGCCCUCUCUUCCCUUUCCAGGGAAGGGAACCCUACACGAUGAGGGUUUAAUUGUGACAUUUCGCGAAAUGUGAGAUGUUCAUUUGUUUGGUUUUUUGCGAAUAGCCUAACGAUAGUCUAUAAAGUAAUUGCUCAUAGCAUACCUAGCCAAUCCUCCCAAUUAAUCCAGGGUAUUUUUUGUUUUGUUUUGUUUGCAUGGCACUGCUUUUUGCAUCUGAUUGCAUGAAAGCAACAGUUAAUAUUUUGACAGGUGAUGAGUUAAUAAAGUUCUGAUGCCAGCUAGAUCCUGACCGUGUAGAGUCACCAGAGAACAGGGCCCUUCUUUUAAGGGUUCUUUGGCCCCAACACACCAGGCACCCUGGCCAGUUGUCCCAUAGUUACUCGAUCUGAUGGGUCCCUCCAAGGUCACAGGAGCUGAUGUCACAAUUGGUGUCUGAGCUCUGCCCCCUAAAAUGGCCAUGGCCAGCCAUUUCAGUUCACACUAGACCACGAAGCCCCUCAGCCAGGAGCUAUCAUGCUGGGCGAUCCGCCAUCCGGUCUGGAAUGAAGACAGCCCAGCUCCCAGGACUCAAGGAAUAGAGCGCCACACCUUUCAGAACCACCUGUUUUCCCCAGCACAUCCCACCAGUGAGCAAGAAGCCCCACAAUGAUUGUUGUUUUAUGGUUGCUUCUCAUUGCAGGAACCAUGUGGAAAGGAUAUAAGUAUCCCCCAGGAGGGGUAAGUGUGCUUUCAACUUUGUUCUCUGUUCCUCCUUUGAAAUUUAUUCCCCCAGAUCCAUGAGCUGAGCAUCAAAAUCCAACUUUAGAAACAAAUCGUCUUUUCUUGAUUAAGAAAGUGGUGGUAGCUUACCUGCCUCUAUUGUUGCUCGCUGAGAGUUCCCUCUUUCACGUCUUUCUUUUAUACAUAUUUUCCUAAGAGUCUUUACUCUUACAUUUUUCAGUUUUAUAUAACCUGGAGGUAGAGAGGUAAAGACUCAGGCAAUGCUGUCUGACAUGGGUGACCUAGUCUUGUGCUCAGGGGCCAUUUUCAGUGCUGGGGUCUUCAGUCCCAUUUCUUAAAUCAGCCCAGACCAGCAACCCACCCUUAACUCUCCCUCAUCAAGUAAAGGGUGGUCUAUAAAAUGGUUCUGGUGCUAGAAAUCUUCUCUCUUCCUGUUAGACCUUGGAUAUGUGUCCUUUCUCUGCCUCUUGUCCGCUCCCACAUGGCUAAGCCCCUCUGGCAGUGGAGGUCAGAGACAUUAAGAGACAGAAUUGGACAGAACCACUUCUGCCUGUCUUUGGCAAGGAAGGCAAUUACCUCAGCCGCACACUCUGGCAGACACUAGAGAAGGCCCACCUGACAUACUUUUGUCCCCCCAGACCCCGGUGGAAGUAAGCAAAGAUGAUCCUGGUGAAGUCAUGCAGCUCUGAAGCUCACCUGGCCUGCUGUAGAGUUCCUGUUGUUGGUUUCGCAUAAAGUAAUUGCACAUUAUUUUGUCACAUUUUAUGUAAAAAGUUACCGUACUUUUUAAGAUGAAGAGCUGAUAUUCUGUUAGCUCAAAACAGGGAGAUGGGGGAGGGUAGUUGGGUUAGACGAACGUGAUUGGGUGCCUCUGUUUCAGUCUCUAAGACUAAAGUCUUAGACUAAAAUACCUAGUUCAAUUUGCCCCCUAUUCUGAAUCCUUAGGGAUAGAAAUUCUCUAAAGCUCCUUUGACCUAGUUCCCGGGUGUAGUCUUCCUCCUGCAUCCAGGGUCCAGGGUCAAAAAAACGUUCAGAAAAUGCUAGAGAUUGCAGCAACUUUAAGCCUAUCUUUUGGGGAUACUCUUCUGUGGCCUUUUCACAGCUGUUACCAACAACCUUCUGUGGCCUUUUCUCAGCUGUUACCAACAACCUUCUGUGGCCUUUUCACAGCUGUUAUCAAGAACCGAAGGCUUACACUGUGUGGGGGAAGGGAUGUCAUUUUAAUAUGAGGUGCUAGAUACUAAAUUAAACAUUACUUUAAUUCUUAUAAGCUUCUGAGCUGGGCACUAGCCUCAUUGAACAAAAGGUUACAAAUGAAGUUGAGAGACUCAAGUAUCUUACCAGCUGCACAGCUCUGGGUUGGAGUUAAGAUCAAGAUCCAGGCCUUCUCCUUGGCAUACUUUUAUGUGCCAAGGAAAAGAGCCAAACAAGAGACUGGAAUAUCCAAGAUCUUGGCUAUCUCUUGGCUCAAGUGCCCCCUUCAUUUGAAUAGCCAAGAAGGUGCCUGAUGAUUCUUUUAGCAGUAACCACUGCUAAUACAGGGCAGCAUGCAUACAUAGAAACAAAAGCUAAGUGCUCAGUCCUCAAUAUGAUGCAGUUUGAGUUUGAGACCAAGUAUGGAAACUUAAGACCCAUGCAAUUAAUCUAGGUGUUUCAGCCCUAGGAUAUUCCUCAUAAGCCCUCUCUAGGGGUGGUUUGGAAUUUUCUGACCUUAACGGGGUUGGGGGGGGGGAGGGGGAAGAAUCCAACAAGAACAAGUACUUCUAAAAUAAACUGUAUGGAAACUUUCCCAUUCUGUGGCUACUUGGGGAUGACUGAUAGUUCCAUCAUUCAGAAGUGCAUCCUUACCACCAAAGUAGAUCUUUUUGGUUAUGUAGAUAACAUUUUGUUGAGGACUAUUUAGCACACAUUUGCUAAACUAUUUUUAAGUGGCCCUUUGCACUGAAUGAAUUGCCUUUUUUUUUUUUUUUUAUGGAAAGAAAAGUGAAUUCAAAAUCCAUUAGCAACACUGGAAUCCUGAAUCCAGGAUACUAUCUCUUAUAAGGCUUCUUAUAUGACCUAGACUCAACACAUCCCAUUGAGCUAAGUGCCUACAUUUUCUGGCUCCGUGGCUAUACCAACUUGCCUCCUGAAUAUCCCAAAGGACUCAUCUUGUCAGUUGUUUCAAGCUCUUUUAUUACAGGGGAUCAGAACCUUUGCUUGUUUUCUUGACAAGAGGAACUAUACACCCAGUUCUUCUUCCCUCUGGUUCCCUGAAUAUACCUCCAAACAGUUCUCCGGCCUUCAGAGUAGCUCUCUUUUUUUUAAAAAAAUUUUUUUUUUUUCAACGUUUAUUUAUUUUUGGGACAGAGAGAGACAGAGCAUGAACGGGGGAGGGGCAGAGAGAGAGGGAGACACAGAGUCGGAAACAGGCUCCAGGCUCUGAGCCAUCAGCCCAGAGCCCGACGCGGGGCUCGAACUCACGGACCGCGAGAUCGUGACCUGGCUGAAGUCGGACGCUUAACCGACUGCGCCACCCAGGCGCCCCCAGAGUAGCUCUCUUAAGCUGGUGGGGUGAGGGGAGAUGGGUCAGUUGUGGGGGUUGAGCAGAGGUCAGUACGUCAGAGGGAAUGAACAGGUGUGUGUGUGUGUGUGUGUGUGUGUGUGUAAGGAAGCACACCCCAUGUCAAGUCUGAUGAGUCUACUGGGGUUUCUAGCUGGAAAAAUGUUCAGGGUGAUGAAAGAAGGAAUAUCUGAGUUUUGGUAAAUAAAUGCAAACCAGUGAAAAUAUCAAUAAAAUAUUUUUAAUGCCUACAAUUUCUUUUAUACAUAAAUUGCAAAACUUUCACCUGUAUAUGCAAAAGUAGAUUCUCUUGCAGGUCAACAGCACCAGAAAACAAGCUAAACUAUGUAAAUGUUUUUUUUUUUUUUAAAACUUGAUUUGUCCAUUAUGUAAAAGACAUGAUGGAUUUAAUAACUUCAAAGAAAUCUAUAUCCCACUCUUAAUCAUACACUAAACACCUGAAUAUUUAUUUUAUCACAUCCACUCACAAAAUAAAUAGUAGUCUAAUAUAUUCAGCACAUUGAAAAUAAACCAACCAGUUUCUCUUCAUAUAUUUAUUCUCUUUCCAAACAUGUUUUGGUCUCCUGCUAUAUCUCAGAAAUGUACUAAUAGCUGCUUUUAAGUUACAAAAUACAAAACAGUAAUUUCUUGGAGAAAAUCUUGGGGUAACAUUAAAAAAAUGAUAUUUCGAGUUCCUAUAGACUUUCUUUUUUGUUAACAGUCUUUGAACCUUCUCAUGGCACACAUGUAAGGCUGUCUGUGACAUGUGGUACCCUGGCCUCCAAAUGGACGUAAUUGCAUUUAUAGUUUAGAGAAAAUACAAAGACAAGUUUUUGAAAGUAGCCUUAAAAGAAGAGUGCCCCUUGCUUUGACAUAGCAAUAUCAAAAGCAAGUGGGACUGUGCAAUCAGAGCCAUAUGAGUUUUAUGAAAACUACUUUCUUUUCACAUCAUCUGUUAGAGAAUGCCACACCCAUGAUCAUGUAACAUUACAAUCGUGAAAUAACAUUACUACAUUCGUGAAUUAACAUUACCCAAUAAAAGGCACAUCUUCAGAUAUUGAAUUAAUAAAAUCUGAAAAUCAAAACAGUAGAGGAUACAUUAAAAACCAAGCACUUAAUUUGUAAACCUUUAUAAAAUAACAGCUUAUUCCAGUUUCUUCAAAGGUUUGUGAGCUUUUUGUAAGAGCCGUCAGGAAUUGCAGAACAAAACGGAAGACAGGAUUUGGAAACAAGGCCAAGAUUAAUUUAAAAGACUUUCUCAGGACUUUCUUUUUAAAUGAGCUACAGAAGUGCCCUUUUAUAAUGUUGAUGCCGAGGAAUAAUAUAAUCAACAUCUGUAGAAGAAAUACACUCAAAAGUGGUAGAUGCCUAAGGACACGACCUGACUCUUCCUAUGAAGUUCUAGAACUUUUAUCUAGCACAGUGGUGCCUUUCUGUACAAAUAACUGCACGUCGAGUAAAGUGCUAGUAAACAUUAAGCCACCAGAAAUCUUUCAGCUAUGAUAAGCACUUGAUUGUAAUAGAUUUUCAAAGAGUCUAAAUACUGAAAAAAUAUAGCCCAGAAAACAACUUUUGUAGGGGUGGGGCGGGAGGAAGCACAAAAGUGACAGCAAAGGAAAUAAUGUUCCAAACCUGUUUUAUUACGUGGAACACCACACUACCCUUAAAUCAAUUUCACUGAAGAUAUUUUGAGAUGGGUGAGAGGCAGUCAACAGGAUUUUCUGCCAGUGUGACAAUUCUAUGUAGAUCAUUAGAGUGUUACUCCUGGUGAUGAAGACCUCUUUCAGAGGAUCCAGCUUCAAAGUUAAAUGCUUGCACUUUCGAAAUGUGAAACUCAAUUCGAAAUGAGUCAGAGUCUUAAGGGACUAGGUCAAAUGGUUGUCCCAUCAAGGGAGGUAACAACAGUAAUGUAUACCACCCAAACUUGGAGAAUAAAGAAAGCUUUAUGGAUAAAAAGGAAUACACCAAAACAACUUUUGGAACUGUUCUUCAAGCUUAUGUCCCACUGUCCCCAACCCUCCACAUUUAGAAUUAAGGACAAAAGCUCUCUAGCGUCAUCAUAUCUCAUUUUCUGUUGCUGACUUUUCCUUGAGACUUGGCUUCUCUCCAGCCAGAACCUAGGUCAGCCUGAUUGGAAUUGCCUGGGUUUGAGGCUUAAGAGAUCUCAAGUGUAAAAAUAGGACUUGGAAAAAAGUGAGAAUGAAGAAAGUUCCACAGCCCGGUAAAGCACCAGUAGCAGGGAACGUCCUUUUCUACCUGGGAAAAAAAUCUCUUCACAGUGCAUAGUUUGAAAUAAAAGUGCAAUAUGGGCAAAAAGAGAAGGUGGUGCUCUCAAUACACGUGAAUUUAGUUUUUGGCUUUUGGCAUUAAUUGCUAAAGAAUUUAAGAUAAAAUGCAGUCGUUAACAUCAAGAGGUACAGGGGCACCUUUUUCCAAAAUAUCUUUAUAGAGAGGGAGGAGGGGAGUCUCACAUGUCACUUCCUUAUUUUUUAAACUAUUACUCUUCCAAAUCUAAUGUUUGAAUAAAAUAAGCAUUUUUCUUCAGUAUAAAAAUGACUUUUCUUAGAUAAAAAUCAAUCAGCACAGUGACCUUGUGUAUUUUACGCUAAAGCCAAUGUAACAGUAAAUUUGAAAGGAAAACCUGGAAACAUUAUUUUUAAACUAAAUGGCAUAACUUGUAUUUUAACUGGAAAAAAAAAAUUUGUUAAUUGCCUUACCACCUAAAUUAGUGAAUAAGAAUGCUCGGCAUCCAAUCCGUGAAUAAUGUAAAAUACGAUAUAAUUUAUUCUACUUUUUACUUCAAAGUCACAGAGAUGACAUCCAUACGAUAAUUAUAGAGCCUACUCUACAUUUUCAAGUUCUCAAUCCAAACAUAUACAUUAGGACAGGUCACUUUAUUGCUGGCAACAUUCACGGAAGGGCCAGGUUCCUCAUUAAAAGACAAAGUUUGAUUGGGAGCUGGGCAGUGCUCUACUCACACAUCAGCAGAACAUGAAGAGGCAAUCCUUUUUUUUUUUUUUUCCUUUUCAAAAUAGCAAAGGAACAAUGUAAGAUUGGCUGACAGUGAGCAGCCCCCGUUAGAGUGCAUAGCUCAUCAGGAUCAAGGCGGGCACCUGUGAACAGUUAACUUCAUAAGCACGCUCACUGGGCAUUCUAUCAUCUGCAUUAGAUUUAACCCUGGAAAGUAUCUGAAAAUACUUUAUGCUCCAAUGACAGCCUGCAAAUAACAGUAUGCGUUCCUUCUCCUUGAGUACCCAAGUAUAAAUUAAAAUCAUAAAGGGGCUUCUUCAUUCUGAAGGCAGGACCUCCUGGCAGCAGAGUGUCUCCAGAACUUCACAAAAAUAAUAAAAGCAGCAGCUAACGCUUCUUCAGCUUCUUAGCCUUUCGACGCUUCAUUUCUUCUUCUUCACGUCUCAUUUCCUCUAAGUCCUCCUGCAUACCUAGUCUUAAACUGUCACGCACAAAAAAAGAAAAAAAGUACUUGUCAAUAUACAUGACAUUACCACACUCUUUAAAAAUUAAGAAUGAAAUUUCAACUGGGAGCUCAUAUGGAAUGUGCUGAGGCAUUAAAAACGCCUCAAGGCUUUACCACUGAAAACAAACUAGCAGGAAUAUUUUUUACUAGGAGCCUCGGCCACUGAUUCAACUUCUAGUAGAAAAAAGACCUCACAUAAAACCUCAACAUAAAAUACCUUAACAUUCCCAUUAAAGUAAUAAAAUGUAAAUUAUCACAAUGGCUUUUAGAAAUAAAAGAAAAUUUAUUCAAU